GAUGGCUUAGGCUGCUGUGGCAGGCAGGUGGUGGUGGGGACAGCCGUGGCGCUAGCGGGAGGUGAUCAGAUUCAGGAUAUAUUUUGGAGCUGAAACAGUGAGGAGGUUUGGAGAUUUAUUGACUCAUUAACUUAAUUCUGACAUUUGAAGGCAAAGUCUGGACAUUUGAAGACAAGACAAUUAAGAUAUUUCAUCUUCCAAAAAGUGCACACACUAGUCCUCUUCUCAUUUAUCUUCUGACAUCACUGGCUCACUAGUGUCUAGAGAUCCAGGCACUUCUUGGCUGUGACAGUUUCUCAGACUGACAAUUUUGUGGAGUGCUGCUCCAGCAUGCUCACUCUGCACCUGGUUGCAACCCCAAUGUAGCCCUGCAUGGCAUGCAGUGUUUUCCUCCCAAGGCU